rnacentral:ncRNA from 2 species
AUAUAAUGUAAUCGCUUAGGUUGCAUCAUUUUGCAAUAAUAGGGAAACAGGUGAAAUACCUGUACGGUCCCGCCGCCGUAAGGUGGAGCAAAUUCAAAGUUGCCACUGUUUACAAUGGGAAGGCUGAAUUUGCUUUGAAACCGAGUCGGAAGACCUGCCUGAGCCAUUUUGCACUG